CCUACGGGUGGCUGCAGUGGGGAAUAUUCCGCAAUGGGCGAAAGCCUGACGGAGCAAUACCGCGUGAGGGAGGAAGGCUCUUGGGUUGUAAACCUCUUUUCUCAGGGAAGAUAAUGACGGUACCUGAGGAAUCAGCAUCGGCUAACUCCGUGCCAGCAGCCGCGGUAAUACGGAGGAUGCAAGCGUUAUCCGGAAUGAUUGGGCGUAAAGCGUCUGUAGGUGGCAUUUCAAGUCUGCUGUUAAAUAUCGGGGCUCAACUCCGAAGUGGCAGUGGA
rnacentral:rRNA from 1 species